GGCUCUGGCUGGCUUCAGGAGCUGCUCGCUGCUGUGGCGCAGGAAAAAUGGCGGGUGCCACAGCAGCGAGCAGCUCCUGAAGCCAGCCAGAGCCA